CAGUCUUAGCACUGUCAGGUGUCCAAACACCUAUACAAGAGUCACAAGAUAAACCCAGAAAUUUAAAAUAAGAAUCCAUAAAGCCAAAAGCUUUAUGU